GGUAUACACAUCCCUUGCUACCUGGAAAGAAAUCUUGUGGGGGUCGCAGCUCUCUAGCACAUACCGUUCCUGAGAUAUUCCCAAAAAAAUGCAAAUAUGGUACAUCACAUGAUCUACAUUAGCCAACAGAAGCCUGCAGUUCUUUCUCUUCAUAUCCAAACUGCCAUACACACGGUCACAUGUCCCUUGUCAGCCAAUAGAAGCUCGCAUUACCUCACCU